rnacentral:rRNA from 1 species
ACACUCCUACGGGAGGCAGCAGUGAGGAAUAUUGGACAAUGGGUGGAAGCCUGAUCCAGCCAUCCCGCGUGCAGGAAGACGGCCCUAUGGGUUGUAAACUGCUUUUAUCUGGGGAUAAACCUACUUACGUGUAAGUAGCUGAAGGUACCAGAAGAAUAAGCACCGGCUAACUCCGUGCCAGCAGCCGCGGUAAUACGGAAGGUGCAAGCGUUAUCCGGAUUUAUUGGGUUUAAAGGGUCCGUAGGCGGACUGAUAAGUCAGUGGUGAAAUCCGACAGCUUAACUGUCGAACUGCCAUUGAUACUGUUAGUCUUGAGUAAGGUUGAAGUGGCUGGAAUAAGUAGUGUAGCGGUGAAAUGCAUAAAUAUUACUUAGAACACCAAUUGCGAAGGCAGGUCACUAAGUCUUAACUGACGCUGAUGGACGAAAGCGUUGGGAGCGAACAGGAUUAGAAACCCGGUAGUCCCAUGA